rnacentral:rRNA from 1 species
UGAGGUAACGGCUCACCAAGGCAACNAUGCGUAGCCGACCUGAGAGGGUGAUCGGCCACACUGGGACUGAGACACGGCCCAGACUCCUACGGGAGGCAGCAGUAGGGAAUCUUCCGCAAUGGACGAAAGUCUGACGGAGCAACGCCGCGUGAGUGAUGAAGGCUUUCGGGUCGUAAAACUCUGUUGUUAGGGAAGAACAAGUGCUAGUUGAAUAAGCUGGCACCUUGACGGUACCUAACCAGAAAGCCACGGCUAACUACGUGCCAGCAGCCGCGGUAAUACGUAGGUGGCAAGCGUUAUCCGGAAUUAUUGGGCGUAAAGCGCGCGCAGGUGGUUUCUUAANUCUGAUGUGAAAGCCCACGGCUCAACCGUGGAGGGUCAUUGGAAACUGGGAGACUUGAGUGCANAANAGGAAAGUGGAAUUCCAUGUGUAGCGGUGAAAUGCNUANAGAUAUGGAGG